rnacentral:lncRNA from 1 species
GCAAUGACUCCUCCUCCUCCUCGAUCCGUCCGAUUCAUCUCCGACUGCUUCGUCAAACCUCCCCAACUUCCUGAUGGCUGGAACCGUCCUCUCCACUUGCCGCCGUGGGACCUCGCCAUGCUCUCCGUCCACUACAUCCAAAAGGGCCUCCUGUUCCCCCUCCCUCCUCGCUGCCUCGACCCUGGCUUCGACCGCCCCGCUUUCAUCCGUUCCUUCUUGGAGAAGCUCAAGCGCUCUCUCUCUUCCGCCCUCUUCCACUUCUACCCGCUCGCCGGCCGCCUCGCCACCCUCAAGCGGACCGACCCCCCGUUCUACACCGUCUUCGUUGACUGCGCCAACAGCCCUGGGGCCCGGUUCAUCCAUGCCGCGCUCGAUGACCGUGGCCGACAUACUCUCCCCGACCUACGUCCCAGAUGUCGUCCAGUCCUUCUUCGACCACGACCGGGCGAUCAACCACGAUGGCCAUACCCUGUCCCUGCUGUCCGUGCAGGUCACCGAGCUUGCCGAUGGUGUCUUCAUCGGGCUCUCCAUGAACCACACCAUCGGCGACGGCACCUCCUUCUGGCUCUUCUUCAACUCGUGGUCCAAGAUCUUCCAAGCGCAAGAAAAAGGCGCCGUUGAUGUUGUUCCGCUAUCGCGUCCCCCGGCCCUGACCAGGUGGUUCCCGGAAAACCAUCCCGGCCCUUUAAGCCUGCCUUACACAGAUGAUCCCUCGUCGUUACUCGCCCGCUUUGAAGCUCCCGAGCUCAGGGAACGAGUCUUCCAUUUCUCAGCUGACGCUAUCGCGGGGCUCAAGGCGGAGGCAAACCGGCAAUGCGGCACCACCAGUAUCUCAUCCUUCCAGUCCCUGACUGCCCUUGUAUGGCGGUGCAUCGCGCGCGCCCGCCGCUUCCCGCCCAGCCAGGUCACAGGUUGCCGGAUGGCUGCGAACAACCGGGCAAGGCUUGACCCUCCUCUCUCGCCGGAGUACUUCGGAAACUCAAUCACACCAGUGAGGACGGCGGCUAAGGUGGGGGAGCUGCUGGGCAGCGGUCUUGGGUGGGCGGCGCGACUGCUGCAUACGGCGGUGGCGGAGCACAGCAGCGCAAAGCUGAGGGAGUGGAACGAGGAUUGGAUAAAGAGGCCACAGGUGUACCACCUGGACAAGACGUUCGAUCAGUACAGCAUCAUGAUGGGGAGCUCGCCACGGUUCGACAAGUACGGCAACGAGUUCGGGCUGGGGAAGGCCGUGGCUCUGCGAAGUGGGUAUGCGAACAAGUUCGACGGCAAGGUCUCAGCCUAUCCGGGCCACGAAGGAGGCGGAAGCAUCGACCUCGAGAUCUGCCUUCCGCCGACGACGAUGGCACUCCUCGAAGCUGACCCGGAAUUCAUGGCCGCCGUGACGGAUUCGUAGGUGGGAGGGCCAAAGUCAACACGGCCGUCAUGCGCAAGUCGAGUCAACACGCGUUAGGAGGAAUAAAGAUUUGUUAUUUGACUACGAAUUUUAAGUUGACUCAUCUCUUAACGUAAUACCCAAUAAAUUAUGAGUUUACAUUCUAUGUACGCUUGGUCCGGGAAAAUUUCAAGUAAGAGCUGAAGUGUGGCCCUUUUCUUAUGCCGCUUUUCAAGUUACUGGCAUUUUAUCCAAAGUUGUCUUUUACUUGCUUUCUCCUCCCUUUUUUUUUCUCGGUUCUUCUUCUUCCCUCUUGCUCCAGUUGACUCUCCCAUUCAUCUUUUCUUAUUCGAAGGCAGUCAUUUCUUCAUCAAUCGCUCGAGUUUGCCGGUGAUCGACGACGACGGUUUGGCAUGGACUGAGCGUGUGUGAUUUCCCAAAGAAGAGCAAGUCUCGUAUGAAAAGGUCUGAAGCUUUAAGACAGUGGGCUCACUUGAGCCAAGAGCUGCGUUCUCUCCAUGCCACUGACGAGGACCAAAGAUGGAUUCCGCCCAGAUAAAAAGAAAACAUAAAACACAAGUUUUUCCUCAGAAGAUAAAACACUGAUCUUUGAACAUAUUGGGUCACGGCCAGAGUAAAGAACUUCAAUGAAGGGCUGCUUUAUUAGUGUUGGGUUCUUCAGAUUAUGCUGAUGCUUCCGCUGGAGUCCUAGGAUAGAUAAAUCCAUGUGGUGAGAAGAGGUGCCCCUUGGCCGGACCCCGUUCUGCUCACCCGCGGCGAUGAAAACUUCCCUAUUACAAAUUCAAUCGAAUCAUGCGCGUAUCCCUAUCGAUUCUUUGGUCACGCUAUGGAUUGAGCGUGAAACCAAAAAUAUGUAGAGUCUAAAAGUGAGGUGACCGGCCUUUCGUAAGAGAUUGAAGGCUUGUUUGGUAACACGCUCGGAAAUAACUGAUUUUGUUCUUUUGUUUUCGGGGAGAAGAAAAGAACAGAAAUCUGUUUGGUAAAUUUCUUGUUCCUCAAAAUAAAAAUCCAUUUUUUUGUUCUUCAGAAUAGAUUUGGAAUAAAAUCAAUAUAUAGAAAAAAAUUGGUUUUUAUUCCCAAGAAUAAUUCUUAGAAUCAAGUCUAAUUUUUUAUUUUCUCUUCUAUUUCCUUGUCUUUUCUCCUAGCCACAGUGAAGCAAACCUCGCGUGGCUUGGGUGAGCUGGAGCCUCAUGGUGGCCAAGUGAGCCUCCAGCAAGCUCAUUGGCCCUCACUCGAUGGCCAGCGACCGGCCCAUAAAGAAGAAGGAAGAAGAAGAGAAAAAGAAAAAGAAAAAAAGAGAAAAAUAUGAUAAAAGUAUUAAAAAAUUAAAAGAAAUAAAAAAUUAAACCCACUUCUACCCGCUCGCCGGCCGCCUCGCCACCCUCAAGCAGAUCGACCCCCCCCUCCACACUGUCUUCGUCGACUGCGCCGACAGCCCUGGUGCCCGCUUCAUCCACGCUGCGCUCCUUGACAUGACCGUUGUUGGUAAAAUAUGGCUUCGUAUUCGGUAGAACAAUGAAGUCAGAUCGUUAGAGUACUUAAGUCGGACUUUGAGGCGUGAUAUCACUUUCUUUAAGGAUUUAUUUGCCCCACAACGUUGCUAAUGGUUACCGGCAAAUUUCUUAUCUUUGUCUUUCGAAUAGAGGCAACUCUUCAAAAUGUUGCAAAAAGAAUAAAGACAACCUUUCGGGAUAGGUUGUAAAAUGAACAAGCACGUCUCAAAUGUUACGUUGAAAAGACAUAAAAAUUCGGAAUUAAAUAAAUAAUAAAUAAUAAAUAAUCGUAACUUUUCAUGAAUAGUCGCAUUGUUUCAAUAAGACUUUAUAAUUAAUUUUUUAAAGAAAUAAAUCCGAAUUUUCAAUAAAUAAAAAUAAUGAUCGUUGGUUAGUGCCAAAUCUCGUCCACGUGCGCACUCACAUCUUUUUGAUGUGGGACAAGGCACUUCUUCAUUUGUUUUAUAAACAAAUUACCAACAAUCCCCCACUUUUGUUUAUAAAACAAAAACAAGAAAUAAAAUGUUAGAAAUAUACAGCCAAAAUUUCCGUGAGAUUAAUAUACAUACAUAAAGGUCUCUCGAGUUAAACCUUUACUUAGUAUAAGUAUCUCAAAGCCCUAUCAAAGUGACAAGUAGCUCGGCUUUAAACUUGUACUUUUAUAUAAUAGAACCAGACAUACCACACAUACACUAACCUCUUGUUUCAACGAGAAGUUCUAUAUUACUCCGCACUAUUAUGGCCUUGUGCUUGAUCCUGUUUCAUGAGCUCUCUAGAAAGCAACCCUAACUUUCGUAAGAAGCGGCACCACUUCUAAGCUCAUAUAGGUGAAGUAUCUACUAUGUGUUUCUGUUACUAUCAACACAUUAUAAGUUUGUACUAUACUUCAUUAAGAAUUCAAUCCAACCUACAAAACGUAACAGACUAUACUGACUUCUCAUAUCAGGGCUACGUCAAUAUCAAACAAUCACAUUCAAUAACUUGUUCUUACCCAUUAAACCUUAUAACUAGUGAUGUUCUAGAAAAAUGUCGGGUUACCAUUAUUGGUGAUUUCAAUUAAAUGGUUUCAGCCUCGUUUCUUAUGAGGUCAUUAUUACCAUAUCUCUUGGUAAAGCCUUUGUCAAGGGAUCGGCAAGACUAUUACUUGACCUCACGUAGACAAUUGUUAUGGUACCAUCUUUAAUCAAUUGUCUCACAUAUUCAUGUCUUUAAACUAGUAUGUCUAGACUUACUAUUAUAUGUGCUACUAUAUGCUCUUACCAAAGUAGCCUAACUAUCACAGUUGAUAGAGAAAUAAGAGGCAUAGGACUAGGCCAUAAUUUGAUAUUCAACAACAAAUUCCUAAUCCAUCAAUAUCUUUCCCACUUGCUACUAAGCAAUGAUUCAAGUUUCAUAGUUGAGUGAAUUAUGCACAUUUGUUUCUUGCUCGCCUAAGAAACAACACAUUCACGUAAUGUGAAAAUCCAUCUAGAAGUUUCAUCUCCCAUACUUGUAAUCCAACUAGUAUCGGUGUAUCUUUAUAAUAUAACCAAAUAAUUAUUAUAGAACAAUCACAAAUUUUAGGUUCUUUUAAAAUAACCAAAAAAUUCUAAUAAUAGCCUUUCAAUGUUCUAUAAUUGGAUUACUAGUAUAUCUACUCAACUUGCAUAUAUAAAAAGUAAUAUCAGAUCUAGUAUAAUGUAUCGCAUACAUUAAAGACCCAUAGCACUCACAUUAAAAACUCUCCACUAGUAAUCAAAUGGAGUACUUAUAUAUUUGAAAACAAGAUGUUUAAAUCUAUUCAACAUCCUUUCCAUGUAAUCACUUUGGCUCAAAGGAUAACCCCCACUAUUUUUUUUUAAUUUUAACACCCAAUAAGGUAUCUACUUCACUCAAAUCUUUCAUUUAAAAUGAAAGUUAGAUAUUUUUUUUUUUUAAUGACUCCAAUCACAUUCGCUCCAUAGUCCCCUUCAAAUAUCCCCACUUCAAGACUAUUUUAAGAGGCAUCCAAUAUGAUAACGUAUGUUUCAUCAUCAUAUCCAAUUAAUAAUAAACCAAGUACAGAAAUCCAUACAAGGAUGGGAAAUAAGUAAAUAGAUAAAUUCUAGCAAUUUAUACACCAUCCCUAACAAUCAAAAGCAUGUGAGAACAGAAGCAUACAACAAAUAAUUUUUCAAUAGCUUCGCCAAGACAAACCGACGGUAGAACGAAAGAUUGCCCCAUUAUUACGAUGGUUCAUCAUUUCAAUAAGAUCUUUCGAUUGUGUGUAUCCAAAUUCGUCAACAGAAAAACCAAAAGAAAUGUUUACGAAUUUUAGAUCACUAAGAGAACAGUCAAUCGAAUUCUCCAAUUUCUCAUUCUCAGAAAGAUCAAACAAUAGUUAAAAAAGAGAAAAUUUUCCAUAAUGGGUCAACAACACCAAUGCACGGAAUGUGAUAUGAUUCAUUUCUCAAUCAAAUAAUUUCCUCGCUCAAACUAGGAACUUAGAUAGAGAAUCACCAACCAACUUGCAGCGACCACGAUAGAGAUGAAUGACACAGCCGACCAGACAUGCAUCGGCUUCUUGUCCUCGAGAAGUACUCACUUAGAGCUCCAAUCUCGUAAACGUCCUUACGCACGGCCCCUAGAGCCUGCCCAUGACGUACGAGUCCCUCCCGAAGUACUUGGGGAGGAAGGAGUUCUCGUUGCCAAGAGUUUGCCACACGAUGUCCCCACAACCCUUGGCCAACUUCACGCUCAUCUCUGCCGCUCCUUUCAUGAAUUCCUUCGCAUGGUCCACCACAUUCCUGAUCUCUCCGACACUGCCGUCUCCAAAUUCAAUCAUUUUUUUAAUAACUAAAACAAUAUCCCCAUGAGUUCACAUAUUUUGCAGCCAUUUAGACAAAUCUAGAAUGUGACUCCUCGAGGCGGUAAAAAUAAAAAAUCAAAAUUGGGCCAUACCUGCGAAAGUACCUUCUACUUGAUAUGGAUCCAAAAUGUCAAUCCGCGAAAGAGAUUAAAAGGCAUCUUCAAAAAAUAAAAAAAAAUGAAUCCAUCAUGUAACUGCCCCUUGACGAGACCGAGUUAUUGAAGUGUGCAGGGACCCGGACAACACAUUCUUGAUAGUCAUAUCAAGGUAAGCCGCAGGGUCUCACGCAUCUUUGUGAGGAGGGUGGAUGAAAUUUCCUCCACAGCAAACUGCUUCUUUACGACCUUGAAAUUGACGACAAUCAUGGGCUUGAGGCCGGGACCAGCAAUGACCCUUGACGGCCAAUGCCUCAUGUUACUCUGGACUGAAGGAUCGCUAAAUCUCCUCCCGAACAAAGAUCUUGCACUCGAUCUCAUGAUCAGAGUCUCGACAUCCUCGAAGUCGUUUUUAUAAGAUGAGAUGCCAUCUUGCAUGAUAUUUCCAUGAUGGAUUUCGCAUCGUGAGCAAGAGCCUCAUUCAUCACCUUUUGCUCCGGGAAAUUAACGCUGUAAUUCAAUAUUCCACCAUUCUUGUCUUCUCCAUCACAAUAGAUGCCGUCAAGAUUAGUAAGUGUUGAGUCCCAAACCAAACAUCAAAUACAGAGACAAGACAUGGCAUAGCAUUGGGCGCACACAAAAGACAUAAAACACACCCUUAUGACAGAACCAAAAUGGACACAAAAAAUAAAAAUAGCGAGAGAGAGAGAGCCUGUAGAUCUUCCUUGAAACUCUGGCCAACGGUGAUGAGUGAUGAUUGUUGGCGUCGACUAGAAGCCAUCGAGGAACAGACCUGUUGGGAAGUGAAAGAACCUGUCCACUUGCAUGCGUCUGGUGCUCGCAUCGCGCAAUGGCGAACGUGGCCUCUUGCAUCUUUAUCCACGGUCAAACGUUGCCUCGAGAUUUACGGCCACCCGUUGCCUCGAGAUUUACUAAUCGGCAUUGGCAAGGGACUCGUUUCAACUGCUUCCUCAAGACAACGUUCCACGACAUGGACGCCAAAUAUGGACGCUUGUCUUCUGCUAGGCGAAUUUUUUAUUUUUUAUUUUAUUUUGAUGAUCUGGGCCCCCGCAAGAUAUGGAACUUGUAACGUCAAUUAUAGCCGUUUGGUAGUUUCCCUUCUCUCUUCUAAUCAAACACAUAGCGUUCCGGGCAGGAAUCCCAGACAAAUUCUGCAUGGCGAGCAUGUAAAUCACAGACUGCGACUCGGGUUCCCUCAUAGCAAAGAUGAAGUGCUUCGUAUGUUCGGGAACCGGAAGUUUAAGGACCAACUCAUUUGAAACUUUCAGGUCAUCGGAUUACGGCUUGGAGAAGGGCCGUAGAGUACGUAAACUCCAAAGGAAAGAACAUGCCUUCAGGACCACAUUGACUCCCUUCCACUUCUAUCUAAAACUUAAGAAAAUUCGUGAAGUUCAUCCUCCCAAUUUCUUGCAUGGUUCACUCACAAGCCCAAAACAGAACUUCCUCGAAAGGAUUCAGGGAAUAUAUUCAGAGCAAAACUAAGAACAACAAUCAACGUAGUCUUGGAAUGAGAAUAGAAAUGAUAAGGGAUCGGAACAUAAGAAACAUCAAAUGAUCAGCGCACACCGCAUUGCAUCAAAUCACACAAGUAAAAUUGUUGCCAUCAAACCAGUUUAGUAUCACCAUGUCUUGAGUAAUGACUUUGAUUCUCUGACUUCAUUGUAGCAAAAAUAAAUCCUUAAAAUUGUUGGUAAAAUAUGGCUUCGUAUUGGGUAGAACAAUGAAGUCAGAUCGUUAGAGUACUUAAGUCGGACUUUGAGGCGUGAUAUCACUUUUUUUAAGGAUUUAUUUGCCCCACAACGUUGCUAAUGGUCACCGGCAAAUUUCUUAUAUUUGUCUUUCGAAUAGAGGCAACUCUUCAAAAUGUUGCAAAAAGAAUAAAGACAACCUUUCGGGAUAGGUUGUAAAAUGAACAAGCACGUCUCAAAUGUUACGUUGAAAAGACAAAAAAAUUCGGAAUUAAAUAAAUAAUAAAUAAUAAAUAAUCGUAACUUUUCAUGAAUAGUCGCAUUGUUUCAAUAAGACUUUAUAAUUAAUUUUUUAAAGAAAUAAAUCCGAAUUUUCAAUAAAUAAAAAUAAUGAUCGUUGGUUAGUGCCAAAUGUCGUCCACGUGGGCACUCACAUCUUUUUGAUGUGGGACAAGGCACUUCUUCAUUUGUUUUAUAAACAAAUUACCAACAACCGUGGCCGACAUCCUCUCCCCGACGUACGUCCCGUCCAUCGUCCAUUCCUUCUUCGACCACAACUGGGCGGUCAACCACGACGGCCACUCCCUGUCCCUGCUGUCCGCUCAGGUCACCGAGCUCGCUGACGGCGUCUUCAUCGGGCUCUCCAUGAACCACUCUAUCGGCGACGGCACCUCCUUCUGGCUCUUUUUCAACUCGUGGUCCGAGAUCUUCCAAGCGCAACAGAAAGGCGACGUCGAUGUCGUCCAGCUAUCGCGUCCCCCAGUCCUGACCCGCUGGUUCCCUGAGAACCACCCCGGCCCGGUAAGCCUGCCUUCCGCGGACGACCCCUCGUCGUUCCACCCCCGCUACCGAGUCCCGGAUCUCAGGGAGCGAGUCUUUCACUUCUCCGCCGACGCCAUCGCGAGUCUCAAGGCGGAGGCGAACCGGCAAUGCGGCACCCCCAAGAUCUCGUCCUUCCAGUCCCUGACUGCCCUGCUAUGGCGGUGCAUCACGCGCGCUCGCUGCCUGCCGCCCAGCCAGGUCACAAGCUGCCGGGUGAUCUCGAACAAUCGGGCGAGGCUAGACCCCCCUCUCCCGCCGGAAUACUUCGGGAACCCGGUCACGAUGUUGAGGGCGGCGACGACGGCGGGGGAGCUGCUAGGCGGCGGCCUUGGGUGGGCGGCGCUGCUGCUGCAUGCGUUGGUGGCGGAGCACGGGAACGCGAAGGUGCUCGAGUGGAACGAGGAGUGGAUAAAGAGCCCGCAGGUGUACCGCCUGGAUCGGACGUUGGGUCCGUGCAGCAUCAUCAUGUCGAGCUCGCCGCGGUUCAACAUGUAUGGCAACGACUUCGGGCUGGGGAUCCUGGGGAAGGCCGCGGCUCCGCGAAGUGGGUGUGCCAACAAGACCGACGGCAAGGUCACAAGCUAUCCGGGCCGCGAGGGAGGCGGAAGCAUCGACCUCGAGAUCUGCCUUUCGCCGGCCACGAUGGCGUCUCUCGAAGCUGACGCUGAAUUCAUGGCUGCCGUGACGGAUUUGUAGGUCGGAGGAACAACACAGCACGGUGGUUAUGUGCCGGUCGAGUCGACAGCCAUUAGUUAUCAGGAUGAAAAAUUACGGGUUGUGUGACUUGUAAUUUUAUAUUAAGUUGAUUUAUUUCUCAAUCUGUAGUGGAUAAAUUAUGGGUUUUUCUCUUUUAUUUUAUGCUUUGUGUUUGAAUUGAUCCUCAGCCAAAUCUUAUUAUUGGUUAGAAACCGUAGAGUAAAACAUCAUGAUAACUUGUAUGGUGGGCCAAUCUAAUAUUAAAAAAAUUCCGAAGUCGAAAUAUCGGGUAUAGAGUAUCGAAAUUGAAAGAUUCUAUCGCAUUUUUGCUUGCUACUGUAAUACCGAAAGAUACACACACGGCUUUCUAUUUAAAUUAUUUUAUUACAAAAAUGUACUUUCCAAUUCCAUAAAAAAAACACACACACACACCUUUUAAGUCUUCUUGCAAAUUAUAUCGGUUAUAAACCGUAAAGUCUUUUUUAAAUCUUAAAUUCUCAAGUAUUCUCUUCUUUUCUUUAGAAAUAAACUUUCAUAAAGUCUAAUUUAAAAAAGGAUUAAUUCUCAAUGUCUCCUUAUCAGGGAAGGAACUUGCCCAUGCAAAUGAAAGUUAGGUUUUGAUGAAUCCACUUGGGUUCUUCAUUCAUGCGAAGCUUUAUGAGUGGAAGCGAUUGAUCGAAUAAAACAGACAAAAGGUGGACAACAAUAGAUGCCAAAUUUAUAUGAUUCGGUCAAUGUAACCUAUAUCCACAAGAAGAGUAGCACAACUAUAAAACAAGCAAAUCAAUGAAGAUUAUAAUUACGCUCAAGCACUUAAAUGCUCCUAGUGUUUUCUAAUCUCCAAUCACAUCCGAUAUCUCACGUGAUGUUUUACUCUCAUAAUUUUUUACGAAAUAAUGUCUCGAUCUCACAAAGAAAUUAUAUAAAAUUCUUACCACAAGAAUUUAAUCAGCUUCAAACACUCAUACUCUAAUCGGAUGCAGAACAAAAACUCAAGAGAUGUCCGUUUAUUAGUUAUGUUUUAUUUGGUAAUGUACCAAACAGUACCUUAUCCUAUUAUUUUGUUUUUCGGAAAAAAAAUAUAAAUCUAUUUCGUAACUUUUUUGUUUCUUAGAAUAAAGUUAUUCAUGGAACAGAAUUAAGAAGUAAAAAAAAGUUUCUUUGUUUCUUGGAAUAAUUCUUAGAAUCAAGUAACUUUUUUUUUUUUGUUUUUCUUCUUCUUCGGCGAGGCUCAGCCUUGAUGGGGCCGACAGCCGAUAGAUGAAGGAGAAGAAGAAAAGAAAAGAAAGGUAAUAAAUUCAUUAAAUAAUUAAAAGAAAAUAUCUGGACUAAAAAUUUUGGGAUUAAUGCCAAAUGCAUUUCUAUCUAGAGAAUAGAAAUUUUAAGAAUAGUAUCAAAUGCAUUUCUAUUCUCAAAAUUUAUCUAGGAAUAGAAUAAAAAAAAAAAAAAUCCAUUUCUGUCGUCCUUACCCGUCCUUGUCCAGCUUUACCAUUGCAACUUGAAGGAAAUAAAGAUACCAAACUAAAAGCUCUGUGGGUGUCGCAUGCCGCCAAAACAGUAAGUUCCAUGGUCCAGAAUUCCGGCUUGUAGCUUGAAAGAGACCGAACGGGAUAAGGCAAAACUACUGUUUGGGAAAAAGACGCAGACAUAAACGACCCCUUCAACAGUGAAACAUCACUUAAAGGACCGGCAAAGGGUUCACGUGUGGUCUUCAAGGGGGAAUUUCCCUUUUCUUUCUUCACAGAGUUGGUCAAAAAGAAAUUAUGACCAUCGUGGGUGUAACUUCUUCCAUCACCUGCCACCCUACGGAAAGUGUUCAUACGCUGCGGGUUUCUAUCCCGGUAAUAAAAAUUUUAAAGAUAAUUCCAAACGUAUUUUUAUGUUUAGAAAUUUAUCUUGAGAAUACAAUUAGAAAAAUUGUAUUUUUAUUUUUAAUAAUAGAAUAAUUAUUAAACACAUCUUUAUUUUUCAAGUCCUAUUUCCAACUUCUCCGUAUAUAUACUUUUCAUAUUAGCUUUACUUGUGCAAGUUGAAGGAAAGGAAAUAAAAUACUAAACUAAAAGCUCUCUUUCAGCAUCAAAUGCCACCAAACAGUUAGUUUCAAGGUCCACAAUUCCGACCUGUAGCUUGAAAGAAAACAAAAGAGAUAAAAGGAAAAAACCACUAAAAAUCUAAAAUUCGGUCAAAAGUGACAAAUUUACCAAUUUUUUUUUUUGUAACACGAAAAACUUCAAAUUUUACAAACCGUGAUACAUUUAUCCUACUAAAGGCAUUUUCGUCUUAUCCUUUAUGUUUUUCCUUUUUCUUUUUCCUCUCUCUUCCCUCCUCUGGCCAUGGCGGAGGGAAGUCAGAGUUUGGUGAGGGCCGCCCUCGCCGACGUUGGGCAAGGGUCACCUUCGGUUGGGUCAAGCAAGGGCGGUCCUCGCCUGAGUCUGGUGAUGGGUGCCCUCGCUAAGCCCUCGCCGGCGUCAAGUGAUGGGUGCCCUCGCCGACGUCGAGUGGCCCUAACUAGCCCAGGCGAGGGCAGCCCUCGCCAGACUUCGGUUUCCCUCCGCUGACUCCAUCAUGGUCGGCGGAGGGAAGAGAGAAAAUUUUUUUUUAAAAAAAAAGUAAAAUAUCAAAAUGCCCUAUAACUUAGGAUAAAUGUGUCACACAGAUAUAAGUUCGAGAUUUCUUAUAUCACGAAAAAAGUUUGUAAUAGAUAUGUCAUAAUUGGUAAAAUUUAAGAUUUUUCGUAUUACAAAAAAAUUUUGAGAUAAAUUUAUUUUUUAAAUAAAAUUUGGGAUUUUUGAUGAUCUUUUAUCAUGAUAAAGCAAGCCUACGGUUUGGGAAAAAGAUGCAGGCAUAACAGUCCUUUCAACAGCGAAACGUUCACGUGGUCUUCAAGAGAAAAUUUCCCUUGCCUUUCUUCACAGAGUUGAUCAAAAAGAAAUUAUGACCAUCUUGGGUGUAACUUCAUCUAUCAUAUGCCACGCUGAGGAAAGUGUCCGUAUGCUACGGACCUACAUCCUUCGAUUCAGUACGUGUUUCGUAUGCAGGCUCAAAUUCAAGACAUAGUUUAAUAAAAGACGACCGGAAGUAAGUGUUAGCGAAACAAAAUCAGCAGCCAAUUAGUUGAGAGUGAAUGUAGAUAUUGUUGUUUUGCAAGACAGGUCAUCAUUGAAAUUGUUCAUUGCUUACCUGUUAUGUUUUCAUGUACCGAAUGCUUCCAAGAAGAAGCAUGUAUUCCACCUGGUCGUAAUUUGCAAAGAAGUACCAAUGCCUGGUUCAUGGAAGCAUGUUUUCUGUUUCUUAUGGCAUGGGCGAUAUGGCUUUGCGGAAGCCCUUAGUUGCGCAACCCAUGCCCCACCAAGCCCUGUAAAUUCUUAACACCUGAAGAGCAGAGAACAGUAAGGCGAAUUAGUUUGCAGUGAAAAGGUUUAUCAUCCUUCGGAACUUUAGUCUGAAGUUGCAACCUCUGUUUUCCUCGAUCUAUCAUUCAGAUGCUGGGUGAAAGUUUAUGCUCACUGGUGGAUCAGUCAGAGCAUGAUAAUGCAGCUUGUUACAAAGUCCACGGUAUGUGGAAUUUGACUGUGGGCGGUGGAUGCACAUGAUAUGAUGAAAUUAAAUUAAAUAUCGUGUUAAAAAGUCCAAUUCAAAAGUUUAAGUAGACAGACAAAACCAUGUGAAUAUAAAUAGUAUAUAAGGCUCAUUGUCAAGCAUGCGAGACGACGUUUCAACUUGAUUAGAGUGACUAGCAUGGUUCUGUAUAGAACAUGGCCGCUUGCAUAAGUGCAAAGUAAUGGGAUGAAAUUGGCGUGUAGGGUUUUGAGAAAAGGGCUUCUGUCUAUCGAAGUUAGAAGUAGAUUUUUCAGGGCGAUCUUCCCAGGGUGAAUGGAGAAAGUGCUAUUUUUCCUUUGGCGAAACAAGUCCUCUCUCUCUCUCUCUAUAGAGUAUCUACUUUCACGUGUAUUGAGGUUUUAUUCGGUCAGUCACAAGAAUGAGUUUCGAGCCUAUGACUUCGCCUACGCUGUCUGAUUUCGAAGUGUUAUUGUCUAUAUACUUUGUUAAAUUAAUGUCUUGAGUUUAAAUUUGGAAACCGAAUUUGUCAAUAAUUUUUUUUUCAAACAGAUUAUAAAUUGGAUGAAUAAGAAAUUUCUUUCUUGGAUUUCCUACUUCAAAACCGGCGAAACAAGAACUUGGGCACACUUUAUAUAUAUUAAAGAAAAACAUAAAAGGAAAGAAGUGUUUUUCACUUUUACGUGAAAGAGAGAAAGAGGUGGGCUCAGGUCACACUUUGACCUGGGCACACGUACUUUAGGGGUGUGCAACGGAAACCACCCAAAUCGGGACCGGACCGGACCGGACCGGACCGGCCGGUUUUGGGCGGUUCCCACGGUCGGCAGUCCGGUUCCCGGUUCCAAGGUGGGAACCGGACCAACCGGACCGACCGGACCGGACUAAAUUUUUUAUAUAUAAUUUAUAUACAUAUAAUAUAUAAACACAUAUAAUAUAUGAAUAUUAUAUAUGAAACUUGAUGCAAUCGGAAUUGCAAUUAAGGUAACAAUCUCUUAUGUGGCCAAGAGACCGCCAAAGCUCUUAGAAAACUUAUUUGUUAGUUUUAUCUUCUACUCGAUAUGGGAUAAGGCUCUAGGAGUUCCUCAUGCUCACUUUCUCUCUUGCUCCUCUCACUUGCAAAUGACAAGGCACUUCAAGCCUCAAAGAAUCUGACAUCGACUAAACAUUCAAAGCAUAGAAGAGAGAUUAUGUAUAAAACCUAAGCCAAGCACAAAUUUUACUCAAAUUGUUCAUGGCUUUUAUGCUUAAUAUUAAGAGUGAAACACAUGAAUUAUGAUUAAUAUUCACGCAAGUGAAGUUUGAAUAUUUUGCACGUGAAAACACGUGUGAGUAGUUUUAUUAAAUCGCCCGGGAGCCGAAUUGGAUCGAUUGGUCUGAAGCAUGGUCGUUCUUUAAUGAAUGGUCGUUAUUUAGUGAAAAAAGAAAGUGUUGAUCCUAUUGGACCGAACCGGACCGGACCGGAACCGAUGGUCCGGUCCACGGUUCCCAAAAUUGGGAACCGGUUUUCCCGGUCCGGUUCUCGGUUCCACCUUGGAACCGGACCGAACCGGGAACCGAUCACCCCUAAUUUUCUUUCCGUAAAGAGCACCCCGAAGACCUACGAAGAAAGGAGCUGCACGUUUCGCACGCCGCCAAGAGAGAAAGCUAAGCUGGAGAUUUUUUCUUUUCUUUUGGUGUAAGACUUGAACGCAGUAAUUUUAUGCCGUGAGUUUAUACCAAAGUGAGUUAUUUAUUUAUAAACACUUUGGGUUUGAGAUUAAAUCUAUGUGUGGGAAAUACUUGAGCGAUUGAGCGAUUUGUAAACUCUGAUUCUUCGAUUUUAGUAGAUUAUUUGCUGCUGACUCUUACCGUGGAUAUAGGUAUCGAUACUCGGACCGAAUCACAUAAAUUUCUGGUGUCCUUAUUUUUCUCGUUUAUUUUUCUAAUGAUUUCGCGUUGACGUAAAUUGUAAAAUCCUGUCAUUUCCGCGUUCAGAGCUUGGGGUUUGAUUUCUUGAUUGUGAUUUGGAGCUUUUGUUUGUCUGAUUAUUUUCUGGAAAUUUUGUUAUUGCAAUUAUAUCUGAGAAGAAAUCUAAAAUUGAGAAGUUUGACGGGAGUAACAAUUUUGUGUUAUGGAGCAUAAAGAUGUGAGCUUUAUUAACAACACAAGGUUUGAUCAAUGCACUGAUUGGUGAAGAUGAGUUGCUGAUUAUAAUGAAAGCCUCUGAGAGGGUAGAGUUGAUGGAAAAAGCAAAAAAGCAUAAUCCUGUUAAAUUUGAUGGAUGAGGUCUUAAUAGAGGUUGCUGAGGAGAAGGAUGUCGCAGCGUUAUGAGCAAAACUUCAAGCACUCUAUGUAAAGAAAUGUUUGAACAAUCGCUUGUACAUGCUGAAAAAGAUGUUUCAAUUUAGAUAUAUUGAAGGUACGUCUAUCAGAACCUACCUAGAUGAAUUUAAUAAACUCAUGUUGGAUCUGAAGAACGUUGGUAAGAUACUCGAUGAUGAAGAACAGGGCAUGAUGUUGUUAGCUUCUUUACCAGAGUCAUGUGAGCACUUUACUGAUUUGCUGUUGCAAGAGCGUACUACUAUUACCUCAAAAGAGGUAAAGUCCGCCUUAUUUUCUAAGGAAUGGCAAAGAAAGUUGCGAGAUGAUGGUCUGGCGAAAGGAGCAGCGCAAGAACUGACGAUUCGGGGUAGAGAACAACAUCGAGAGCCUAGUAGCAACAGAGGUAAAAGCAGAUCAAAAUCACGCCAUAGAAAGUCCAAAGGACGCGUGAAGUGCUUUGAAUGUCACGAGGAGGGGCACAUUGUCCAAAGCGGAGAAAUAAAGUUGAUAAGCAGAAUGCUAAACGUUGUUUAGGGGAGCACUAGUGAUGCAGAAGUUGUCUUAUGUGUGACUGCUACUUCGUUAAGAGACGAAUGGAUACUGGAUUCGGGGGUGUUCUUAUCAUUUGAUACCUCAUAAGAACUGGUUUACUACUUACCAGACUGCAGAUGGUGGUAAAGUUCUUUUAGGGAAUAAUGCAGUUUGUAAGGCUGUGGGGAUAGGAACAAUUCGGAUUUGGAUGCACGAUGGGGUGGUGCGCACAGUAACAGAUGUAAGGUAUGUACUGGAACUCAAGAAGAACCUUAUUUCUCUGGGGACACUUGAUGACAUCGGGUGUUGGUACACCGCUGAAGGUGGAGUAAUGAAGAUCUCUCGAAGUGCUAUGAUAGUGAUGAAGGGAAAGAAAGUGAAUACUCUCUAUCAUCUACUAGAAGAGACCGUGACCGGAACCACUACAGCUUCAUUAGGUGAGUCAGACUCUAACUUGACUCAAUUAUGGCAUAUGCGUUUGGGGCACAUGAGUGAAGCAUGUAUGACGAUGCUGAGUGAAAUGGGGUUGUUGAGUAGUCAGAAAACAGGAAAACUUGACUUAUGUGAACACUGCAUCUAUGGGAAGCAGCACCGAGUUAAGUUUACUAUAGCUAUUCAUUCGACCAAACGACCAGUUGAAUAUAUUCAUUUAGAUGUCUGGAGCCCGUAUUCGGUUCCUUCGAAAGGAGGUGCCCAAUAUAUGUUGACAUUUAUCGAUGAUUAUUCGAUGAAGGUAUGUGUAUACUUUCUGAAGCAUAAAUAUGAUAUGUUUGAUCAGUUCAAGAAAUUUAAAGCAUUGAUUGAGAACCAGUCGGAUAAACAAAUCAAGUGCUUGAGAACCGAUAAUGGCAUGGAGUUUUGUGGUAAAGAUUUUACUAAGUUCUGCGAGAAAGAAGGUAUUGUGAGACACCGCACAAUACUUGGGACACCACAACAGAAUGGCGUGGCAGAACGGAAGAAUAGAACUUUGCUUGAGCGAGCUCGAUGCAUGCAGGACUUGGCAAUGAAUUUUGGGCUGAAGUAGUGAACAUGUCAUGUUACCUAGUUAAUCGAUCUCCAUCAUCUGUUAUCGAGUGGAAGACUCUUGAGGAAGUAUGGUCGGGGAAACCUGUUGAUUAUUCCGGAUUACGUAUAUUCGGAUGUCCUGCGUAUGCUCAUGUGAGUGAUGGUAAGUUCGAGUCAAAGGCGAAGAAGUGCAUAUUUCUGGGUUAUGCACAUGGGGUGAAAGGCUAUCGACUAUGGUACAAUGUUCCUACAUCACCCGAUUUUCUAUUAAGCAAAGAUAUGAUCUUUGACAGGACUGCAAUAAUUCAACAAAGGAGUUCUGAGACACAGUCAACAAAGAAGACAGAUCAUGGUGUCAUUAGUUAGGUGGAGCUUCAAGUGGAGACUCCGGAGACCUUGAAGGUAACAAAAGUUGAGACUGCAGAUGAAGCUGCAGUUCCUGAAGUCGGUGAUAGUGAACAACCAGCAAAGUCACAGCACACUAUAGCCACCGAUUGACAAAGAAGACAAAUUAAAUCACCAAUACGUUAUGGUUAUAUAGAUAUUGCUUAUGCAUUGACUGUAGGUGAUGAGGUGGAGAUAGAUGAGCCUUCAUCUUUGAGGCGAUGGCUAAUUCGGAGUCAUCGCAGUGGCUAGGGGCUAUGAGUGAAGAGAUGGAAUCACUCCAUCAAAAUCAGAAAGGGAGCUGGUCAAAGUACCAAAGAGCCAAAAGAUUGUCGGAAGUAGAUGAGUCUUCAAACGAAAAGAGGGCAUUCCUAGUGUUGAGGUAGCGAUGUAUAAGGCGAGACUUGUGGCGAAGGGAUAUACACAUCAUGAGGGCAUUGACUACAAUGAGGUGUUCUCUCUUGUGGUAAGACAUACUUCUAUUCGUGUUUUACUUGCCUUAGUUGCUUCGCAGGAUCUUGAGUUAAAGCAGUUAGAUGUGAAAAUUGCGUUUCUUCAUGGUGAGUUGGAGAGCAGAUUUACGUGAGACAAUCAAAGGGAUUUGCUAUUCCGGGUAAGGAAGAUCAUGUUUGCUUGUUAAAGAAAUAUUUGUAUGGGCUGAAAUAGUCUCCUAGGCAGCGGUAUAAACGUUUUGAUACUUUCAUGGCUAGUCAAAACUAUUGAAAGAGUCAGAUGGAUAGCUGCGUUUACUAUAGGAGAUUGAAGAAUGGUUCUUUGAUUUAUCUACUCUUAUAUGUUGAUGAUAUGCUGAUAGUGGCUAAGAAUAUGUCUGAUAUUGAUGUGCUAAAGAGGCAGUUAAAUGCUGAAUUUGGAAUGAAAGAUUUAGGUGCUGCAAAAUUCUUUUUGGGUAUAGAGAUUUUGCGUGACAUGACUGCAGGAGUCUUAUGUCUAUCUCAGAAGAAAUAUAUUGAGAAGAUAGUGACACGUUUUAACAUGCAGUCAGCGAAAUUUGUAAGUACACUUUUAGCGAAAUACUUUAAACUUUUAGAUAAAUUAUCACUGCAGAUUGAGGAGGAGGAGGAGCAUAUGUCCCGUGCUCCUUAUUCUAGUGUCGUGGGUAGUAUUAUGUAUGCUAUGGUGUACACUAAUAUUUCAAAAGCUGUGAGCGUGGUUAGUCGUUAUAUGAAGCGUCCUGAUAAAACUUAUUGGGAAACUGUGAAGUGGAUCCUUAGAUAUUUGAAGGGGACAACAGACGUGGGUAUAGUAUAUUGAAAGGACAACAAUGACAAUGAGACCACUGGUUUUAUGGAUUCGAAUCACGUCGGUGACUUGGAUGAUUGCAGGUCUUUAGCAGGGUACGUAUUUACGCUAGUGGGUGGUGCAAUUAGUUGGAAAGCAUCCUUAUAGGAUCACAUUGCCUUGUCUUCGACUGAGGCUGAUUACAUGGCACUAACUUUUGUAGCGAAGGAGGCGAUAUCGUUACAAAGUUUGCUCUCGGACUUUGAAUUAGAACAGAAAAGUGUGGAUAUACACUAUGAUAAUCAAUGUGCAAUAUAUUUGGCGUAUAAUCCAGUUUAUCACGAGCAAACAAAGCAUAUCAACAUCAGGUACCACUUCAUCCAAGAUGUCUUAGCUAAGGGUAUUGUUACUGUUAAAAAGAUUACUGCAGCAGAUAACCCAUCAAACAUGAUGACUAAGUCUGCUCCUUUGGCGAAGCUUGAGCUUUGCUGGAGUUCUAUUGACGUCUAUGGAGAGUGAGCACCCGUCAGGGUGUUGGGAGAGCAGCAUGGAUGAUGAGCACUAUAACUUGACUUCAAACAUCGAGCUAAGGUGGAGAAUUGUUAAAUUAAUGUCUCGAGUUUGAAUUUGGAAACCGAAUUUGUCAAUAAAGUUUUUCCCAAACGGAUUAUAAAUCGGAUGAAGAAGAAAGAAGUAAUUUCUUUCUUGGAUUUCCUCCUUCGAACCGGCAAAACAAGAACUUGGGCACACUUUAUAUAUAUAUUAAAGAAAAAAAUAAAAGGAAAGAAGUGUCUUUCACUUUUACGUGGAAGAGAGAAAGAGGUGGGCCUAGGUCAAACUUUGACCUGGGCACAAGUAUAAAAGGUCUUAUUUUCUUUUUGGAAAGAGCAUGCCGAAGACCUAUGAAGAAAGGAGCCGCACGUCCGCUGAGCUGCGAGAAGCCGCACGCUGCCAAGAGAGAGAGCUAAGCUGGAGAUUUUUUCUUUUCUUUUGGCGUAUGACUUGAACAUGGUAAUUUUGUGCUGUUAGUUUAUAUCCAAGUGAGUUGUUUAUUUAUAAACACUUUGGGUUUUGGGUUAAAUAUAGGUGUGGGAAACACUUGAGCGAUUGAGCGAUUGUAAACUUUGAUUCUCCGAUUUUAGUGGAUUAUUUGCUGUUGGCUCUCCUCAUGGACGUAUGUACCGAUACUCAGACCGAACUACGUAAAUUUCUGGUGUCCUUAUUUUUCUCGUUUAUUUCUCUAGUGAUUUCGCGUUGACGUAAAUUGCAAAAUCCUGUCGUUUUUGCGUAUUAUAUCCCAACAUACUUCACUUGCCUGCCUUGGGGGAGGAGAAUGUGUUUUCUUAUGCCACUUUUCAUUUGCUCGUCUUCUUUGCUUCUCCUCAUCUCUCCUUGUCUCUCAACUUCAUCCGCUGCUUGAUGUGGUCGGACAUACCCGAGUACAUCUAUAUAAAAACGCCGGAUAAAAAAUCUAGGGGAGGGGUGGGAUAAACUUAGAUUAGAUAAGGAUUUUUUCAAAGAAAAAGAAGAACUGAAAAAGAGAGAAAAAGAUCGUAAGCAUCUACAUCAAAUGGAUCCAACUGAGCUUUUGACUUUGCCAGUCCGAUUCGUUGUCUGCCUUCUCCUUUUCCUGUCUCGGUUCCAAUUGGUGGAAGACGAGAUGAAAUUGUCACUACUUAUUGUCUUCUUCCUCCCUCUUCUUCUCCCAUCGCCGGUUGUUGUACGCUAGCAAUUGGGUGCCCUUUUCUUUGGAUCAUGGACUUGAUGAAUGUGAUGACCAAGACUGGCUCUUUGAUGUUUCACAUAGGCAUAUGUUCAACUAAUUGAAGCAUUGCUUGCACCACCUCAAACAUCAGCGGUUGGAACUCUGGCUCUACCUAAGCCACUUCAUUAACAUAGCGAUCAAUAUUGUGGGUGAAAAAAACAGAUUUUGCAAGGAUGCUAGAAUCCCAUGGAGGAUGUUAUACGUCUCAAGGGAAGAGGGGAAAAUGGGGAAGAAGAGGUUGCAAAUCUUUGGUAUUGCUGACAACCCGGACUUCGAUCAAUCUGAGAUGAUGCAAAGACAAUGUUAGUAGUUGCCUGAAGUUCCCCUACCCACCCUCUUUGUCGUGGUCUGAGAUUUUACUAAUCUGUGUUGUCGCCAUGUGGCGAUGUUAGUGGCCACCGUUUUCGAUUGUGGCCACUUUGGAGGUAGAUGGCCACAGUUCCUAGAUCUAGAGUUUUUCCUUAGCUUUUAAUUUAUUGAAUUUCUAAUUUUAUAAUUUAAUUCAAUAUUAUAUUAUUUUUUAAUCUUACCCAAAUUGUACCUAACACUCGAUAGCAUUAGAUAUAUAUAUCCACCUUCACUAUCUAAAAGAUUUGAUAUCUCACUUUAUCCUAUUUUAUCUCAAUUAUUAUCCCAACAGCUAAAAGUAGCUCCUAGCUUUCGUCGAUCAAAGAUAAGAAUUUUGGCAAUCUCCAUAGGAGACAAAGUCUUUUCUCUAACUCUCACUCUCUCUCUCUCUAUUCUCUACUUUCAAGUGUCUUUAUAAUUUAUGGUCGGUGGCAAUGAAUGAUUUAAGCCUGCAUUGUCUUUAACUAUCUUUGCGGCCAACUAUCCUCAAUCCCCUCCCUCCGAUCUUUAUUUAUUUAUUUAUUUAUUUUUUGUCUAUGUUGAUGUUUUUAUAAGUAACGGAAACACAAAAUUUAGGGAAAGAAGUUGCAGAAAGUAGAAAUGUAGAUUUCAAAGAUGUAAAAUGGCUUUCUAAUCUGGGAUUGGAUUUUCUUGAUUGACUAUACCGUUCUAGACAAUGAUUUAUUCGAAAAAUAAAAUUCUAUUAUUGCAAUCGAUCGCAGUGAAUAAUGCUGGCUGUGCUAAUGUCGACUUGAAGAACCCUAUCUUUCAUCAAAAGCGGAAUUUGGAGCUUUUUUUUCGGUCACUUUGGCCAUUUAUUUUGACUCAAUUGCAAGUAAGUGACCUGUGCUAUUGUGUCAAAUUAGAAGAUUUGAGGCAAAAUGCCCCUAUCCAUGGCACGGAUAAUGGCACAUGACACGCACAUGUUGUCUGCUGGUCAUGACUUCUUUAAAACAAGCAUCACUACAAGGGUUCUUUUACAAAAAUCAACCUCCCUUUAGGAGCCUUUUUGAAUUUUUUUUUUUCCAUUUAAGCAAGUACCAUGGUGAGUGUCUUCCCCUAAGGUAUGAAAUCAUGCAAAUCUAAUGUGCAAAAAGAUAGAUGCGAUGCCCGGCAGAAGAUCAUCAAAUUUCAACUGUGGCACUACCUUACUGUCAUCUCAUUUUGGCUAUGAUCAGAGCACAAGCGGCAGUUCAAUUGGAAGCCGAGAGGAGCGGGUUGUGUGGGUGGAAUUCGAGGUUGUCUAAGCAAAGCAGGAAACGUUUUCAAUAUUUUAUCAGAACGUGGGGAGAGAGAGAGAGAGAAUGAAAAGGCUCUAGUAUUGCUUGGGGAGCAAGGGAUGUGAAGAUUAGCUGGCCUUAGUUUCUUUCUUUUGCUAAUAAGAUGAAAAGUCAGACUCGUCUACUAGUCAAACGCAGAGCAGCUUCUGCACUCGUCAGAGUCCGGUAGUUGGUGGGAGCAAUCUGAUUUUCAGAUUUUCGGGUUACCCGAUGGGGGUUGUUGCUCCAUUCUAAUCUGACCCAAUAAAAAAAUUCUAAAGAGACAUGCUAUCCUAGUCGUCAUUACCCCACUUCAAACGACUCCAUGUGCACUAGUCAUAGACCGAUUUGCACGGCUCCAGCAUCCCCAUGUAAAUAAAUAACACCAACCAUCCUCUUCAAGGUGAGGGCUGAGUCAUAAGCGCAAUCAUCUUCCGCGUCUCAACAAACACGACCCUCGCAAUGACUCCUCCUCCUCGAUCCGUCCGAUUCAUCUCCGACUGCUUCGUCAAACCUCCCCAACUUCCUGAUGGCUGGAACCGUCCUCUUCACUUGCCGCCGUGGGACCUCGCCAUGCUCUCCGCCCACUACAUCCAAAAGGGCCUCCUCUUCCCCCUCCCUCCUCGCUGCCUCGACCCUGGCUUCGACCGCCCCGCUUUCAUCCGUU